rnacentral:rRNA from 1 species
UGGGGAAUAUUGGACAAUGGGCGAAAGCCUGAUCCAGCCAUGCCGCGUGUGUGAAGAAGGUCUUCGGAUUGUAAAGCACUUUAAGUUGGGAGGAAGGGCAGUAAGCGAAUACCUUGCUGUUUUGACGUUACCGACAGAAUAAGCACCGGCUAACUCUGUGCCAGCAGCCGCGGUAAUACAGAGGGUGCAAGCGUUAAUCGGAAUUACUGGGCGUAAAGCGCGCGUAGGUGGUUCGUUAAGUUGAAUGUGAAAGCCCCGGGCUCAACCAGGGAACUGCAUCCAAAACUGGCGAGAUAGAGUAGGGCAGAGGGUGGUGGAAUUUCCUGUGUAGCGGUGAAAUGCGUAGAUAUAGGAAGGAAAACCAGUGGCGAAGGCGACCACCUGGGCUCAUACUGACACUGAGGUGCGAAAGCGUGGGGAGCAAACAGG